AGUUUAUAUUGGCAUGCCUGUAAGCUUGUCAUUUAGGGAUUUGGCUUUAGUUCUUAAUUAUGUUUUAGCGAAAGUGCACUCUCACUAUUCACUUGGUUGCUAGGUACUUACAUGAACAAAAGAUAUCCUGAUUUAGAAAAAAUGUCUAAGCCUAGUGAGUGUGAUGAUCAGUCUUGUCAAAAGUGUUUAACGUGCUUGACAAUUGUCAUAAUAGCUAUGAUAAAGUAUUGAAGACUGAUUUCUUUUCUGCACUUAUUGGUCUUUCUUGCAUUUUAGCUUCACCUUUAGAGUAGGUAUGACAGUAUCAUUUAUUGUAAAAAGUACAUCAUUUAGUAUCUAUUUUUUCUUGAGCAAUAUGUAUUUGCUUAUUUAAAGGUAGAAGCGAUGGUUAGUCUGAACGUCCAUAUAUUUUGAUACUAAGCAAUAUGGUU
rnacentral:misc_RNA from 1 species